AUUGAACGCUGGCGGCAGGCCUAACACAUGCAAGUCGAACGAGUGGCGGACGGGUGAGUAAUGUCUGGGAAACUGCCCGGUGGAGGGGGAUAACUACUGGAAGCGGUAGCUAAUACCGCAUACCAUCGGAUGUGCCCAGAUGGGAUUAGCUUGUUGGUGGGGUAACGGCUCACCAGGGCGACGAUCCCUAGCUGGUCUGAGAGGAUGACCAUCCACACUGGAACUGAGACACGGCCCAGACUCCUACGGGAGGCAGCAGGGGGGAAUAUUGCACAAUGGGCGCAAGCCUGAUGCAGCCAUCCCGCGUGUAUGAAGAAGGCCUUCGGGUUGUAAAGUACUUUCAGCGGGGAGGCGUUACCCGCAGAAGAAGCACCGGCUAACUCCGUGCCAGCAGCCGCGGUAAUUC
rnacentral:rRNA from 1 species